CAGCCGCCGCGGGAAUACGGAGGGUGCAAGCGUUAAUCGGAAUUACUGGGCGUAAAGCGCACGCAGGCGGUCUGUCAAGUCAGAUGUGAAAUCCCCGGGCUUAACCUGGGAACUGCAUUUGAAACUGGCAGGCUAGAGUCUUGUAGAGGGGGGUAGAAUUCCAGGUGUAGCGGUGAAAUGCGUAGAGAUCUGGAGGAAUACCGGUGGCGAAGGCGGCCCCCUGGACAAAGACUGACGCUCAGGUGCGAAAGCGUGGGGAGCAAACAGGAUUAGAUACCCCAGUAGUUCCUGUCUCUUAUAC
rnacentral:rRNA from 1 species